UAAUUCAUAAACCCCACAUGGUCAAAAGAUGAGGAGUGAUGCAAAUCCAAUGUCUGUAAAUCCUCCAACUUUUCAUUUUUGGUGAACAAAGUUUCUAUAUUUCAGGUUAUUGCACCAUCAGUGGGAGCAUAUGGGACUAUGCAGAUUAAAUGCAGUGACCUGGCAGAGAGUCCAGAAAAGCUGAUGAGAGUCGGGUAGACGUCACAAUGCAAUGGAUUUGCUGGCAAAAACUGUACCUCGAACGUGGAUCAGACGGACACCCUGCACUCGUUAGUUUAUUGCUCUCUUAUUAGGAACAUUUUUUUGCCUUGCAUGGAUUGGCAGAGUCCUGCGAGCCACCCUCUUCACAUGGCCCAGGCUCUGUCAGAACUGAUCAAAAGACGUUUCUUCACAUCUCCAGAUGCCAGGAAAGAAGAAGAAAAGAGGAAGAGAAGAAAAGAACCAGAAGGGGGCAUACUGCUCCCUCUUUACUCUGGUCUUUUGGUGAAUAAGGACUUUUCACAAUACCCUCUCCUUUUUUCUUUUUUUCAGUCUUUCUCUGGCAAAACAGAGAGAGAGAGAGAGAGAGAGAGAGAGAGAAUGCAUUUCUAAACGCGUUUUGCCAAAUUGUUCUUGCCAUAUCAAAAACAAUUAUCCUCAGGUGAAGGAUGUGCCUGCAGAACUACAACCAUUCCAGAGGGAAAAAGAGGUCUUCACAAAUCUGACUGGCUUCCAGGCAGCAAGACCCCCUCGAAGUGGUGAUGAAAAGUGUAACUUUAACCUCCCAGCUGUACGUCUCAAUCCAUAAUCCUUCCCCAAAAACCUCACCGUAGAGCCGCCUACCACUCCCAUGGCGUUCCCAGCCUUUGCCGGGCAGGGCCUGCACUGAUUUAUGUGGCGGUCCCGAGUCAUACUCACAACCUGAAAAGGAUUUGCUCUCCUAUAUUUACUGGGGUAGUUAGGGCAGCUCUUUGGAAACACAGGAAGCCCUUUCUCUGGGCCUCACUCCCACUCCUUCUGAGACACUCUCUUCUGUCUCAGGAACAUGGACAUUUUGGACCUUACCAGAACCAGAGGAGACUUUUUAGGAUGGAGUAUUUCCACAGAGCAGAGGUCAGAGUCCACGCACUCACACCUCGCCGCCACAUGGCCACGUUUUGCUCUCGGGGCCCAGCAGGGUCCCAGCACAGGUCACAAGAGGCCUCCGCAUCCCAGGGAUGAGACUCCAGACUGGCAUGAAGAGGAGCGUUUGAUGUGGCCCUUCGCUAGGCUAUGUUACUGUGUUGCUAUGGCUUUAAUUAGCUCCAGCAGCUGCAGCUGCUGCUGCUUCCUGGUGGACUGACCACAACAAACUGCACUGUCUCUGUAAUGUCUUACAGUUAAUGGGUCAGCGCGCUACAGUCCAACAUUUGGUGACAUCUUCAAAGAGGAAAUCACUGCAGCGGAUCAUCACUGUCUCCAGCCUGGCUUAUAAAUCUAACACUACUUUUUUAAGUCUGGAUGGUCUUUUUAUUAAUCAGUUUUGGAUUAAUGGCCAAAUCAACUCCUUAAUUUUAUGCCAACUACAGUUUAUUUAUUUCCAUUUCUUUCUUUUACAGUGAAGAGAAUAUCCAUAUCAGUUCCUCAGUUAGAGUGUACAGGUGAAACUCAAAAAAGUGUAAUAUGGUGCAAAGUUAAUUAACUCGUCCAUCAUUUUUCUUAGACUGCGAGACCAUCUAAAGAUUCAGGAACCCUUUGCAGGAGCUUUGUAGCUGAGAGUGUGACACUUUCAGUCUAGAAUAUUUAACCUUUUCACAAUAUUCUAAUUGUCUGAGAUUUUGAAUUUGGGGGUUUUGUCAGCUGUGAGCCAUAAUCACAAUUAUGACAAAUAAAGGCUUGAAAUAUCUGAAUUUGCAUGGAAUGAGUCUGUAUCACAUAUUAGUUUCACCUUUUAAGUUGAAUUACUGACAUAAAUGAAUUUUUCCACCAUAUUCUAAUUGUUCAAGUUUCACGUGUGUUACUUUAAAUCACUGGUGCAAAAAAAAAAUUGACCGUUUAGCACGUUUUUAUUGUAAAAUUAAAACAGCAUUUCAGGUUAGUAUGCACACCCAGAUCCUAAACAAACCGAACCCGAUAAGAUCUGUUUCAUCAGGACAGUACUGUACGUGAAGAGUUAUGAGGACUCUGACAGACGCAGUGUAGGAGUUGACUAAUAAUAAAUAUUAUUUUAGCUUGCUAGCACUGAUGAGCUGUUGCAGGCAACACUUCACCUUCUAUAGCUGAUAUGAAGUGACAUUUAGUUUUGCAUCAAGCUUUCAGUGACAGUUUGUGUGUUGUAAAUGUUUCAGAAACAAACUUAUCCAAAUAAAUAAUGAGAGAACUAAAGAAAGCCCAUUUCCUGCAAUGCAUCUUGGGUGCUUUCUCCAAAAACAUGUAAUUCAUUAGCACAAUGAAGAGUUACGUGUCUAAUUAUCUACCGUAUGUUAUACUUAGACGUGUGUGUGUGUUGGAACAGUGUGUGGCUAGUUGUGUCCAUGUGCCAAUAAGAGUGUGCCCAUGUGUGGGUGCAUGGGUGCUCCACUGUUACUCGUUGUGUGUGUGUGUGUGUGUGUGUGUGUGUGUGUGUGUGUGUGUGUGUGUGUGUGUGUGUGUGUGUGUGUGUGUGUGUGUGUGUGUGUGUGUGUUGCACAGUCCAUUAGUAGAGUUUAACCCCUCUGUUCAGGGAGUCACAUCCCCACAUCACACCCGGCU